AUACAGAAGCCUCCUGAAACUAAAUGUGGAAACGCGGGCAUAUAAGAUACCGCAGAUAAAGCCAUCAUUUCAUCACAAGAAAGAAAAUCAUCAUGAACCGUUGUGUUGCUCUUAUUCUACUGGUCAUUCUUCUGUCUCAAGUUGCGAAUGGAUGGAAAAUUUGUUAUGGUAAAAUUUGCGUAAGUUUUGAUGAAGACGGAGUUGAAGCUGUAUUAAAAACGUCACUACAGGAUUCAAACCUCGACCAAAGCUUUGAGGAAAUGCUUGGUGAAACUCAAAUGAUGAAUGAUCAAGGCGCUCGGGCGGGUUCUGUUUAAGCUUGAGUCUUUUCUCAUCGCAUAAACCAUGGACGGUUUCGAGCAAAGGAAAUAAACAAAAAACAGUCAA